UCCGGGAUCGUCUAAUGGUAGGACACAGGCCUUUGGAGCCUGGCAUCUUGGUUCGAAUCCAAGUCCCGGAG
rnacentral:tRNA from 1 species